GCUUGCAAUCAGAUGACGACCGGCGAACGGGUGCGUAACGCGUAUAGAAUCUGCCUUGUACAGGAGGAUAGCCUUUAGAAAUGAAGAUUAAUACUCCAUAAAUUUAAGAGAUGGCAUCAUUUUUUAAUUAAAGAUUUAUCGGUACGAGAUGACUAUGCGUCCUAUUAGCUAGAUGGUAAGGUAACGGCUUACCAUGGCAACGAUAGGUAGGGGGUCUGAGAGGAUUAUCCCCCACACUGGUACUGAGACACGGACCAGACUCCUACGGGAGGCAGCAGUGAGGAAUAUUGGUCAAUGGAGGCAACUCUGAACCAGCCAUGCCGCGUGCAGGAAGACUGCCCUAUGGGUUGUAAACUGCUUUUAUACAGGAAGAAACAUAGCUACGUGUAGUUAUUUGACGGUACUGUAAGAAUAAGCACCGGCUAACUCCGUGCCAGCAGCCGCGGUAAUACGGAGGGUGCAAGCGUUAUCCGGAAUCAUUGGGUUUAAAGGGUCCGCAGGCGGUCAAUUAAGUCAGAGGUGAAAUCCCAUAGCUUAACUAUGGAACUGCCUUUGAUACUGGUUGACUUGAGUUAUACGGAAGUAGAUAGAAUAAGUAGUGUAGCGGUGAAAUGCAUAGAUAUUACUUAGAAUACCGAUUGCGAAGGCAGUCUACUACGUAUAUACUGACGCUCAUGGACGAAAGCGUGGGGAGCGAACAGGAUUAGAUACCCUGGUAGUCCACGCCGUAAACGAUGGACACUAGUUGUUGGAUUUAGAUUCAGUGACUAAGCGAAAGUGAUAAGUGUCCCACCUGGGGAGUACGAUCGCAAGAUUGAAACUCAAAGGAAUUGACGGGGGCCCGCACAAGCGGUGGAGCAUGUGGUUUAAUUCGAUGAUACGCGAGGAACCUUACCAGGGCUUAAAUGUAGAGUGACAGACUGAGAGAUCGGUUUUUCUUCGGACACUUUACAAGGUGCUGCAUGGUUGUCGUCAGCUCGUGCCGUGAGGUGUCAGGUUAAGUCCUAUAACGAGCGCAACCCCUAUCGUUAGUUGCUAACAGGUAAUGCUGAGGACUCUAGCGAGACUGCCGGUGCAAACCGAGAGGAAGGUGGGAUGACGUCAAAUCAUCCGGCCCUUACGUCUGGGCUACCCCGUGCUACAUGGUUGGACAUGAGCAGCACUAUGCGA
rnacentral:rRNA from 1 species